UGCCUACGGGUGGCAGCAGUGGGGAAUAUUGGACAAUGGGGGAAACCCUGAUCCAGCAAUGCCGCGUGAAUGAUGAAGGCCUUAGGGUUGUAAAGUUCUUUUGCCUGUGAAGAUGAUGACGGUAACAGGAGAAAAAGCACCGGCUAACUUCGUGCCAGCAGCCGCGGUAAGACGAAGGGUGCUAGCGUUGUUCGGAAUGACUGGGCGUAAAGGGCGCGUAGGCGGUCUUUUAAGUUAGGCGUGAAAGCCCCGGGCUUAACCCGGGACGUGCGCUUAAGACUGAAAGGCUUGAGUAUGGAAGAGGUAAGUGGAAUUCCUAGUGUAGAGGUGAAAUUCGUAGAUAUUAGGAAGAACACCGGUGGCGAAGGCGGCUUACUGGUCCAUUACUGACGCUGAGGCGCGAAAGUGUGGGGAGCAAACAGGAUUAGAUACCCCGGUAGUC
rnacentral:rRNA from 1 species